GUAAAGCACUUUCAGUAGGGAGGAAGGUAGUGUAGUUAACACCUGCAUUAUUUGACGUUACCUACAGAAGAAGCACCGGCUAACUCCGUGCCAGCAGCCGCGGUAAUACGGAGGGUGCGAGCGUUAAUCGGAAUUACUGGGCGUAAAGCGCAUGCAGGCGGCCUGUUAAGUCAGAUGUGAAAGACCCGGGGCGUUAACCUCGGAAUUGCAUUUGAAACUGGCAGGCUAGAGUCUUGUAGAGGGGGGUAGGAAUUUCAGGUGUAGCGGUGAAAUAGCGUAGAGAUCUGAAGGAAUACCAGUGGCGAAGGCGGCCCCCUCGGACAAAGACUGACGCUCAGAUGCGAAAGCGUGGGGAGCAAACAGGAUUAGAUACCCUGGUAG
rnacentral:rRNA from 1 species